GAGUUUGAUCAUGGCUCAGAUUGAACGCUGGCGGCAGGCCUAACACAUGCAAGUCGAGCGGAUGACGGGAGCUUGCUCCUUGAUUCAGCGGCGGACGGGUGAGUAAUGCCUAGGAAUCUGCCUGGUAGUGGGGGACAACGUUUCGAAAGGAACGCUAAUACCGCAUACGUCCUACGGGAGAAAGCAGGGGACCUUCGGGCCUUGCGCUAUCAGAUGAGCCUAGGUCGGAUUAGCUAGUUGGUGGGGUAAUGGCUCACCAAGGCGACGAUCCGUAACUGGUCUGAGAGGAUGAUCAGUCACACUGGAACUGAGACACGGUCCAGACUCCUACGGGAGGCAGCAGUGGGGAAUAUUGGACAAUGGGCGAAAGCCUGAUCCAGCCAUGCCGCGUGUGUGAAGAAGGUCUUCGGAUUGUAAAGCACUUUAAGUUGGGAGGAAGGGCAGUAAGCUAAUACCUUGCUGUUUUGACGUUACCGACAGAAUAAGCACCGGCUAACUCUGUGCCAGCAGCCGCGGUAAUACAGAGGGUGCAAGCGUUAAUCGGAAUUACUGGGCGUAAAGCGCGCGUAUGUGGUUUG
rnacentral:rRNA from 1 species